UGGGGAAUCUUGGACAAUGGGCGCAAGCCUGAUCCAGCCAUGCCGCGUGGAUGAUGAAGGCCUUAGGGUUGUAAAAUCCUUUCGUGGGGGACGAUAAUGACGGUACCCCAAGAAGAAGCUCCGGCUAACUUCAUGCCAGCAGCCGCGGUAAUACGAAGGGGGCUAGCGUUAAUCGGAAUUACUGGGCGUAAAGCGUGCGCAGGCGGUUCUAUAAGACAGAUGUGAAAUCCCCGGGCUCAACCUGGGAAUGGCAUUUGUGACUGUAGAGCUAGAGUACGGUAGAGGGGGAUGGAAUUCCGCGUGUAGCAGUGAAAUGCGUAGAUAUGCGGAGGAACACCGAUGGCGAAGGCAAUCCCCUGGACCUGUACUGACGCUCAUGCACGAAAGCGUGGGGAGCAAACAGGAUUAGAUACCCAAGUAGUCCCUGAGCGGGCUGGCAAGGCGCAU
rnacentral:rRNA from 1 species